UUGGGGUUUGUGAUUGACAUUUAUUUUAUUGCUCUGGAAGUAGAUACUAAAUUACCUCAAUGUUCCAUUUCCAUUAUAGACUUUCUUCGAUUAUACUAUAGGUUUUAGGUGAGGAAGUAUUAGUUUUGUAUGGAAGCAAGGUUGAUGUUUCAAUUUUAUGAUCUAUUGGAUAUGUUUUCUGGGGACCAUUAUCAUUUAUGUUGGUAUUAGUAGUUUGGAUUCUCUUAAUAAUUAUAGAUAUGUGCUCCCUGUUCUAGUAUUUUGAUUUGGUCUCCCUUUUCACUUGUGGUCAAGAUAUUUAUCACUUGGUCAUUGCAAGUUUGGCAUAUCUGCUACUUUUAUUCUUCUUUAAUGUUCUUUUCAAAAAUCAAUUCUAUCAUUUACUUCCUUAUAUACCUGGGCCAUGUUCGUGGUGACUUUUGAUAGAACACAUGCAUUGUAGUUUUGUUGUAGUGUAAGAGAAACUUUAACACUCAGUUAAAUUGUGUUGAGUGUUAAACGAAGUAAAAGUAGCUCUCCAACUGUUUGCUAAAUAUAUGCACGAAGCAACAUAAAAGAAUCCAAAUUUUAUAGACCAAAUAUCUGCUUACACUGCAACUGGCAAAGGUAUUUCUUUCUUUCUCUGAUUUUCUUAGAAAACUUUGUAUUGAAAUGCAAUUAUUAUUUUAAGUUUAAGUUCAUAAGGGAACUAUCCUAUGUUCUGUCUUAGUUGAGGGCUUGCAGCUGCUGUCUUUGGCAUGUUAUUUCUCUUUCUUUCUUGUUAGACUUCUAAAGUGGCUUUAAUUUGCUAAAUUUAGUUUGUUAAUUUCAUUGAUGACUGAUCAUGACUGUAGGGCUGCUUACAAGGGAUUUCCUGAUUGCUAUUUGCCUUCUGCUAUAUCUGAAUGCUCAUAGAACGCGACAAGAUAAAGAAGGUUAGUUGGAAUGCUCCACGCUACAUGUAUAAUCGUGUUUCAUAUUUGUUUUUACUGUGUCAAAAAUGUGUCCAGUUAGCUACUUCAGUAAGCAUCUGAUGUCGUUUUUUUUUUUUUUCUAGGUUGUACCCCGCUGCACUGGGCUGCCAGUAAGGGUAAGUUAUAAGCAUGCAAUCUCCUGGUGAUGGCAAGGAAGAAAAAAGAUUUGAUGGUAACAGAAUGUACCGGCUGUACACCUGCACAACUUGCUAACUUCUAUUUCCCUGUGUUAUUGUUCUUAAUAUGAGACAAUUCAGUAGAAGUGUUGGAAUAAAUAUCUUAUUUAAUGUCAUAAUUACUUUGGUAAUUAAUGGAAUUAAAUGAUAUUUUUGAAUCUACAUGUUGAGUAGAUUAAAUUGGUAUAUUUACUUAUUUAAAUCUAUAAAGAAUUGAAUGAGUAAUUAAUGCCAAAAAUGUGGCGACGGUUUAGGACUGAAGAGACACGAUGGUUCGGACAUAUUUAUCCAAACAGUGCGCGUGGCAGCGGUUAAGGACCGAAGAGACACGAUGGUUCGAACCACAUGUUUACCCAAACAAUACACCUCUUCCGACAGAAGAGAACAUCUCUUCAAACAAAGAAGGGUGCACCUCUUCGGAUUGGAAAGUCACGUCCGUUCAAGGAAACCCCUGGAACACUAUAAAUAGGGCCCUCCAUAAUGAGAUUAAAUACACCAACGAAUUCAGAUAAUCAAUUUGUCAUAUUAGUUUAGUUUACAUACUCAGUCCCGAGUAUCAAGCUGUUCGACCGGAUAGCGAUCUCCUAGUGCUAAGGACUCGUCUAUCAUCCCAAAACCGUUGUAUCUUGGGGGCAAUUACUGUAGAUCCGCAAGCACAAGAGCGGAAGUAAUUUUGCCUUACGAAGAGAGAAUUUAUUCUCGCCUCGGUUCUGCAUCUUUUCCAUUUAUCGUCAUUCUAUUUUCUACACUACCAAAUAACAAGAAGAACAGUUAAAAACCAUAAAUUUGAGAUGUAUAUGGUAGUAUGAUACAUGAGAUAAAGAUAUGAGCCAUCAUCUAUUUUUAUCUCUUUGGGUAUUCUUACACACACAAAGUUGUUUAACUAGUUAAAAACCAAAAUGGAGAAUUGAGAGCCCUGAACAACAUUUGACUCACGUUGGCACAUUGAAACAUUUUUUAUCCUCUUGCUUGCAAACAAACAUGCCCAAUAUGGAUUACUCCAAGUCAGCUCGCUUCUUGGAGCUGUAAUGCAUCCUCAAGUCUUUCCACUAUAUCUGUCAUUGAUGGCCGGUCUCUUCCAUAAUCCAGUAGACAUCUUCCAGCAGUUUCCAAGAAUAUAUUUAGGCUAUCUCGUGGUGUUCUCCCAACUAGAAAGGGGUCAAUACAACCAGAAAAGUGUUGAGAAUAAGAAGUCAGUAAAAGCAGCAAACAAUAAAAGUUAGUCAAAAGAUAAAGUUAGUCAAAAGAUAACCAAGGAUCCCUUAAUCAUAGGGAUCCUUAUGACUUUGUAUCAGCAAUAUUGAAUAUCAUCUCCCAUCAAACACUAUAAAUGGGAGAAGUGUAUCAGUAGGAAAUAACAAGCAAUACAAUAACAAUCAUUUGCUUCUCUUUAUCUUUCUCUAUGCAUUAUGAUAAUACCAUGUUUUAACAUGGUAUCAGAGCAAGUUCAAUCCUAGGAACUCAGAAACAAAUCAUCAUCGUUCAUAAUCCCAAACCAAAACCUUUCUUAGCCAAUUCACCAAAUCAAGGCAGCCUCUGUUCUUCAUUUCCUGAAAAAAAAAAAAAUGCCAGGAGAGAUUGAAACCAUAAACCAAACAGAUUCAAAUAACCCAAAUCCAAACAGAAUCCACAGAAUGGGUCGAAGAGACCCAAAUCCAAUCAACUGCAAUGAAGAAGGGAUUAAUAAGCACCGAAAAUUAAUCGGAAAUUGCCGAUUAUUUCAGUUCCUCCCUGGAUUAGAUGGCAGAUAUGAUAAACUUUGUCGGGACAUUCUCAAGAAAGUUCCCGUUACCUCAGUCGAGUCGGCGUUCUCAAAAGUGAAAAGGGAGGCCGCCCGACUACAAAACUUGCAGCCGGCAACCAAUCGCUCCGACAUCGACGCCUCAUCAUCGGGAGGGGUCGGAGCCGGACUCGCCGCCACCCACCGCCCUACUCAGCGGCCUGAGGUCCAACCGCCACACACCGCCGCCGGUCCAGGCAACACACCGGAGUGGUGGGAAAACAAUCACAAAAUUGCCAAAGGGAAGAAAGC
rnacentral:lncRNA from 1 species